rnacentral:lncRNA from 10 species
UCUCUCUGGCCUUAUUUUUUUUCUUUGGUUUUCAGAAGUUUAAUUAUGAUGUACCUUGGUCAGAAGAAGAAAUGUAACAGCAGACACAGAGGUCACAGUGAUGUGAUUACUGCUUGGAAGGUGGAAGGAGGCCAUGAGCCAAGGAAUGCAACUGGCCUCUAGAAGGAAGCUCAGAAAGCUUGACAACUCAGUUCCCUUUAUCACUGAAUAAUACUUCACUGACUGGAUGUACCACAGUUUAUUUUCCAUUCACCUACUGAAGGACAUCUUGGUUGCUUCCAAGUUUUGGCAAUUAUGAAUAAAGCUGCUAUAGACGUCUAUGUGCAGGUUUUUG